rnacentral:rRNA from 1 species
AUUGAACGCUGGCGGCAGGCCUAACACAUGCAAGUCGAGCGGAUGAAGGGAGCUUGCUCCUGGAUUCAGCGGCGGACGGGUGAGUAAUGCCUAGGAAUCUGCCUGGUAGUGGGGGAUAACGUCCGGAAACGGGCGCUAAUACCGCAUACGACCUGAGGGAGAAAGUGGGGGAUCUUCGGACCUCACGCUAUCAGAUGAGCCUAGGUCGGAUUAGCUAGUUGGUGGGGUAAAGGCCUACCAAGGCGACGAUCCGUAACUGGUCUGAGAGGAUGAUCAGUCACACUGGAACUGAGACACGGUCCAGACUCCUACGGGAGGCAGCAGUGGGGAAUAUUGGACAAUGGGCGAAAGCCUGAUCCAGCCAUGCCGCGUGUGUGAAGAAGGUCUUCGGAUUGUAAAGCACUUUAAGUUGGGAGGAAGGGCAAUAAGUUAAUACCUUGCUGUUUUGACGUUACCAACAGAAUAAGCACCGGCUAACUUCGUG